GUCAGCCCCUCGUGUGGCGUCAUCCUGCGGAACUCCCCCAGGGCCGGAAGGCAGCAAGGGUACGUGGGCUCUGGCGGGUGCACGAGGGGUCUUCACA
rnacentral:SRP_RNA from 2 species